rnacentral:lncRNA from 1 species
AUGGUCACUGGCCUUGAGAAACGGAAUCAAAAUACAGGGUAUUUAUUACACUGUAUAGAUGUGCUCAAAUUGUAUCAACCCCUUGGCUUCACAGGUUCAAGGACUCUGCUAGUUCACAGUAGCCACAGGUACAAACAGCUGCCCCACAGGCUGAGCAGGAGCCUCAGCAGGACCUUCAAGACAUCCACUCUGCCUCAAAAUGUGCUGCCUCACACAUACAGAAGGCUGUGGAGCAGAAGCCAGGUUGGAGUAAAAUGGAGAGCUCAGCUAUGCAAUCAUUACCUGACCUGGAAGUGCUCAGGAUCUGGGGAGGACAAGGAAUUUUGGUUAAGCUGUCAGCCGCAUAAUGGAACUGUCAUCUUUUAUCAUGAGAUGUUGUGAUAUUUCUCUGUUGCUUCCCCUGGCAACAGAGUUCCUUCAAGGCAAGUACAGUUAUGUUUUCAAUUAAAGUGCGAUGUCAUGCAUUUGUUUCCAUUUCCAUCUCGUUGACAAACAGUGAAGGUAAAGAAUAUAUAUUUUAUUUUCAUCCAGUUUGUUCAGGAAUUUGAGAACCACUCAGGCUGGCAGGGCCACUGUAUCACAGUGCAUAUGUAGCUUCUCACACUUAUCACAAAUUUGCACAUCUAGGUCUCAAAAGCAUAUCCAUCUUUUCAAUGUCAUUUGAUUUCAAGUAGUCACUGUUUUCACUCUCUAUAAUCUAGGUAAUACCUUUGACCCCAGUGUUCUCCUCCACUUCUGAGUACUGUGAUCAUUUUGAUCCAUCUGUGCAAAUGCCCUCCCACACAAAGGCAAGUCAGAGGUGUGAUACUGGUUUUCACCACCUGGAAACAUAUUGCUUUGUCAGAGAGGUAUUUUGGUCCCAUUCCUGAGUCCAGCAAAUAUUUUUACAUUUAAUUUUCAUAUCUCUAAUAAAAAGCAUUGUCCUUACA